ACCAGAAUAAACCCACGCCUCGGUGUCGUCUCAUCUUCUCUUUCACCACCGCCGAUUUCACUCUUUAUCUCUCUUAGGUUUAUGUGAGAGAUGAGCAGCUACUGCGGCUGUCGAGUUUAAAUCAAGAGAAAUCAGAGAUUUCGGUUUGUAAAAGCGUGAUCUGAGAGCUGAUGCUGAAUUCAAGAUGGGUGUAUCUACAACAAGAAUUGGAGAUGUUCAUAGGGAAGUGGUUUUGAUGGGUGAUAUUUCUGGGUUGAUUUGGAUUCAACAGAAAAGAAUAUCCUGGAGCCUUUUCGUGCCGAAACCAUACUGCUUAAGGUAACCCUAUUUAAAUUGGUUUUGAUUUUUGAAAAUUUGGUGUUCUUUUUUGUUUGUGACAUGAUUUAGAGUCCGCGGUGUGGUGAGAAGCUUUGGUGUGAUUCGAAUUUGGUUUUGGCAGCAAGAUGAUACAAGUUCAAAUGAAGUUGAGCAUAACUUUUGUCUGCCGGAGAACCAUGGAAUACUGAAUAAUUUUAAUUAUGAGAUUCUUAGUAUCUGUCUGAUUGAUACUGGAAAUGUCUUUCGUUAUAAAAGAAUAUCGGAUUGGAGUGCAAUUAAUUCCUGUUCCAUGCCAUAGCACCAGCAACUUCACUUUAAGCAUUGGUGCUCUAGAUCGGGCAUACAACCAUGCAAAUAAGCAAGGACUACAGGUUCAUGGAGUUCUCUUUCCCAAUCCUGCAAUUCCAGCUGGUAUGAGUCAGGAAAUUAUAGACAGCUUAGUGGAAUUUCGUAGGAGAAAAACAUCCACAUCAUUUGGGAUUAAAUAUUUUUGGGUCAACAUAUGGAGAUGAGGAGUUCGUUAGCAUGGUCGAGGUUCUUGAUUCAAUGGAUUUUGAUAAGACUAUUGUUGACUCUUGCUUUCGGUACUCGACCAAAGGCCUGAGGAUGAUCGGGAUCAUUAUGGAAACAAGAAGAUGGACCUUGCUGGUCCUUUACUUGGAGUCCUAUUCCAGAAUCUGUUCAGGAAGUUAACAAGGGAUAUCGGAGGCUAUGUUCAGAGGUGGGUUGAUAAUUGUAACUUGUUUCCGAUUGAAUGAGGAGUUUAAUGGGUUCAGGUGGUGUUAACUGUUGUCAUCAGUUGGAGGACAUGGUAUGGCUAGAAGUCAGAGUUAUAUUUGACAGAGAGAAUGCUCAAGAUUGCAGCCGAGAGUUCUGCGAGGAGAAUGAGAUAUGAGAACAAAUGGCGUAAUUGAAGUGUGCAACUGGAAUGGGUGCAGAUGUAGAUGCCGCGUGUUUUUAUGAAUGUUUUGAAUGGCAUUGUGAAUAACGGGUUAGUGGUUUGUUUGGUGAACUGAUUUAGAUGAAUGUUAGGUUCCACAGGUCAAGAAAUGGUGAGUUCAGAUGAGUUGACCUUGAAGGGUUUUGAUGAAUUUCAAGUAAAGAUGCAGCUACAGUCUUUAGCUGAGAUAAGAAGCCACAGAAAGUGUUAUUGGUGUUGCAGUGUGGUUAUACAUGGGGUUAUGCAGGUCUGAGUCUGACAAUGGUGUUGACGGAUGUGCUGUUACAAGGUAGAGAAGACAAUAGUCUUAAGUUUGUUAUGAAGCUGAGGUGGAUGGCAGAUUGGAAUUGAGAUGUGUUGUUAAUGAAGAGGGAGUGAGUAGCAGUGAAAAUGGUAGACAGUGGAGGGAUGGCAAUGGAAAAGGAUUUACGGUUACUGUUGCAGAGAUGAGUCUAUGGUGGUUAUGUAGCUGAUUGUGGCGCUGAAACAAAUGGGUAUUGCAGCUGAGGAGUUGGUGGUUACUGUCAUUACUGGGAAUGAUAGAAUGUAUGAAUGAAAUCAAUACAUGGAGAGUACAAGAUAAGUGCAUUGUUUUGAUCUGAAAUUACAGGGAAAGAAAUCUGUGAAGAUUAAGAUCACUGGUGAUUGAACCUACAGAAUGAGCUUAGAUAUUUGCAUUUCUGGAAAAGUUAUGCACUGCAGUUCACGGAACUGACAGGCCUAAAUCAUUCAGAUUACUCAGUUGACUCCCUGACUGAGCUGUUCUUACUCGGUGACUAACUCACCAUACACCUUGACUGAAUUGACUCAGUUUACCGGUGAUCGGCUCUAGAAACCCGUGUGCCUACAAUACUUCUAUGCCCCGAACAUAAUAUCUGCAUAAAUGAUGGUAGAUGGUUUACGUCUAUGCCCCGAACAUAAUAUCUGCAUGAAUGAUGGUAGAUGGUUUUCGGGUCUUCCGGGAGCGUAGCAUGGACACAAGUUAGGUUAAUUAAUCAUGUUUAUGCUGCAUCUGAUGCAUUUGCAUUAUUUAUUUAUUUUUGACACGGAUGCAUUUGCAUUA